UAUAAAUGAAGCUAACGAACUAUGGCAUGUAUAUACAUAUACUCCUGAAACUUAAUUCGGAAAGUUGAUGAUGAGUGUUAAGUUAAUCUUUUUCUCCAGAUGAAUGGAAAUAUGUUUAUAUGAUUUCAGGACGUGUAGGCUAUGAUUCUGAUGACAAUCCAUUCGGUGGUGGGUGGAUUAACAAGCCACGUAUCAAUCCUUGACGCCAUGAUCACCCCUACACCAACCUGCAAAAUGCUAUAUAAACAUAUACACACACAUAUAUAUGCAUAUAUGUUGCAGAUAAAAAUAAAGUGAUGUAUAGCUCAUGAUGUUUAUACAUCUCUUAAGUUUCUAGAUAAAUAAAUUAGUCAGCUUCUUGACAGAUUGUUAUCACCCUUAAUACCCAGAAUACAUGUAUGUAUUCUGCGCGACAAAAAGAUAUUGGUAACUAUAUGAUUACCUACUUCGUUAAUGAAUUUUAUAGUAACAGAAAUAUGUGUCCCACCAAAUAAAUUUUGUAACUUGGUAUUCUCUGCAAAAAAAAGAUGAUUCAAUUGGAUCAACAUGAAAGUUUUAACUAUAUUGCAUGUUAGAAUCCGUUUUGUGUCUGUAGAAAAAUUUAUGAUACAACAAACAUCAAGACUCAAAAUCUUAUCAGUAAUCAUUGAAGACAACUCAGAUCAAGCCGAAGGUAUUCAAGAUCUAAAUGUUAAGCUUGUUCGUCAGUGAAACAAAUAGUUGAAUCAUACCAAUAACUUGUUUCUGUACUUGGGAUCAACCCCCUUUUGGUCAAUUCAGAUUUGCAGUCAAGCCACGUUCUUGUGUAUAAAUGCAGUAGCCAUUUUCUUUCUUUUCGUUUACAAACCACUCUUUUUCUUUCAUUUCUUUUCUGUAUUCAUUUCAUUAGUUUUUACACAACGAUGUGUAAAAUUCAUGAGUGUGUGUGUAUAUGUAAGGCUAAAGAUACUUAAACAAAUAGGUCGGCCGACUAUAUUUAUAGCUCACAAGGACUCAUAAUCUACUUUUAAACAGUGUUGAUCAACUAUAAAUCAUGCUAAAUACAUAUACUCCUUUUCUAACUUAAUACCGAAAAUUGAUAACUGAUAAGUAUUAGUUAAUCUUUUUCUUCAGAUGGGUGAAAAUACGUUUAUAUGCUUUCAGGAAGUGAAUACAAUGAUUCUUAUGACAAACCAUGGUGUUGUGGGUGGGAGAAGCGGCAUAUGGAGCCUUGACUGUACUAUUCGUCGUGAUCACCCUACAGCAACCUGCAUAAUGCUAAUAUAUACACACAUAUAUGCAUAUACUUUGCAGACGAAAAUAAAGUAGCUCAUGAUGUUUAUGUAUCUCUUAAUUUUCUAGAUAAAUAAAUUCCUCAGCUUCUUGACAGAACCCUUAAUCCAUGUGUACCUGCGAUCUUUAGGGUUAACGAAAGCUUCUAUUGUAUUUUGAUUAUUUUAACGUAAUAAACAAAUUCACCAAUUAAUCCUCCAGAUUAUCCUGUGAUUAAUAAUUUCUUCUUCUAAUUUAAACAUCAAAUGAAAUAAAAAAGUGCAUCCGGAAAAAUCAUCAAAUAAGAUAUUGUUUACAUUAAAAAAAACAUGGGUUUUAAUGAGAAACAAACCAUCUCAUCAUGGCAAAAUGAAGUUUGUCAUGGCAUCAUACCUCUCAGCCUCUAGAAGAUCUCCGCUUGUGGAUACACAAGUAAUUUGAAAAAAUGCACGUUGAGUGCAGAAGAGAUAUCUUAACCGUAAGUACACCACCUGGAGUGAAGAAGAGAUAUCUUAGGGUAGGUAAUAAAUCGGAGAUAUCUUGCUUAACUUGAUGAACUCCAGAUGAAUUCUUUUCUUGUAUGGCUAAACCCAAAGGAAAAUUUUUUGUUACCAAAGUUGGAUGCCAGACCCACCACAGAAGGAAAGUCAGAACAAAAUUUUUCCAAGGUAUCUAAGGCAAAAGUAUAUAUAAUCAAAUCCUAACACCCAAAUCAUCAACUUCUUUCCUUAAAAAAAAUCAUAUCAGAUGGACAGAUCCAUAUUCCGCUUACGGCUCCCCUGGCUAUCGGCAGUUUCAGCUCCCCGUCCAGCACCAACCCNN
rnacentral:lncRNA from 1 species